CUGUUUUUCGCCCAAAUUUGUUCAAUGCCAACAAAAUGCAAGCAGAUGGAUCUCGUGGAAACAACUCACAGUCUACUUGAGAAUAUGGGAGGGCUUUUUCCUCGUGAAUGUUUAAAAGAAAAUGUUAAAAUAAGCUUCCCGACAUCUGCACUGCAAUCAAACGACUCCAAUCAGAACAUUGGUGUAGCAAAGGCAGGGUAUAAAAUCAU